rnacentral:lncRNA from 1 species
CAGAAACUUUCUGAAAUCUUCCAGAAUUUUCUUUCUAUCCUUGAGGUGUCAUUUUACAUGAGAGUUCUCAGUGGGUCUUUUCAAACUGGAGACUCAUGAUCAUGACAAUCUGGUGCACUCCGACUGUGUUCCACCACACCUCCUUAAUGGGGUUGAAAACCUUCCCAGGGAGACCGUUAGACUGAACAAAUCAAACCCCAGAGCCUUGGUUCAUGUGAAAGGAGAGAGGAGCCGGGUCUAGACAGGGGAACAAAGCUAGAUCCACCAGACACAAACUGCAAGCUAACUUUGACCCUGCUGCCCACCCGCGCCUGGUGGGCUCUCCAUCACUCUGUGACCUCAAGCACUCCCUGUGCAUGGUUGGUCACUCUCUGAGCCAACACAUGCCACCAGCCAUGCUGUGUCUAGCGUCUCCUUACCAUGUGGAUUAAGGGUGGGCUAGAGAUGAUGACAACUACUGAGGUAGAUUGGCAGUCAUCAGUGGGGAACUGGACAACUUCAAAGACAGCCAUACUUACCAAGUUAUUAUCAUGUGGAGAUGCAGGUUAAAGAAGAUGGCUCUGCCAACCUCUUCAGACUUGCUAUGAAAUGUCAGUGCAGCUAAUAUUAUAGACAGCUAAGUUAGGAAAAUAUUAUAGGCAAUCAGACAGGGCUAGAGCCUCAAAGGGGUCAGUGCAGAAGAUAAGAACACAUUACAACUGUGGCUGGAGGUGCAUUUAUUGAAGGCCAGUCCUCAAAAUAAAGAUGGAAUGACUAGGCCUACAUAUCUCCCUGAGGGAUAAACAAUAUACUCUAAUCAGUAUUACCUGGUCCAAUAAAGUCUAGAGAGACAUUAGUUACCCAGUGGGUGACCAGGACCUUCUGACUCAUCCUUUCCAAAAAAGGUCCUUGUUCUUUCCAUGCACACUUGCUAUGUGACCUGCUUCCACAUUGGCUCAAUAUUAACUAAGUGGCUAUAUUUGUAAUCCUAUUGUCUGAUCAAUGUUUUGCUCAACAUUGUACUCACCUUGUGAUUUUGUACCCACCUCGUGGUUUUGCUCUAUAAAACUUCCUCUGUAGAAUGGAGUCCAAGCCAACCUACUUGGGCCCCCUCCUGUCUCUCAGGAGCUAAAUCUCCUGGCCCCCUCAAUAAAUAUCUCCCACUCUUAACCUCCAUUGUUCCUUAGAAUUCAUUCUUCAAAUCUGGGGAACACAAACUCGGUGUAUAUGGCAUCUAGCAGAUUGGGAGUUACUUCCCUUACACUAGGAGGCCCUAUAUCACUAGAACAUAUUGAUGUGGUGGAGUUAAGCAGAGCACAAGCUUUUAUUCCCCUUGGCUGUGGCUAGAGCCAGGCAGCAGGGCACCCAUGGGGCCCAUGGGCAUCACACUUACCAGGUGUGGCUGCUUCCAUGCAGGAUUUAUUACUAUAGGGUGUUGGGGAGAUGAUGGGAAGUGGGAACACCUGCCCUGUUAAACCUACAGCCCCACACCAGUCCCAUCCCCUCUGUUGUGGCCCCUGCGACUACCUUUUUCAUCCCUCUCUCCUCAGGACAGUCACACCUGCAGAUCCCUCUGUCUACAGUGCUUUUCCUGAUAUCCGACCCAGCUCAUGUCUCUCUGCAUGUAGUGCUAGGUCACCGCUGAAAAGUCCAAGCAUACUACAAACCUGUAUGCUUUGCUUGGUGCAUCUACCCUGCUGUCUCCUGCCUCUAGGUCUCAGGUAAUCCUGGGCAGUUUCCCUGACUCCUGCAUCCAUGGACAUUGGCCUGUGAUGCUGAGUCAUCAUUCCUAGGGUCAGGUUGAGGUUUGGCUGAUUAUGAUUGCAGGUGCCUGCUGUGGGCAUCUCUAACAUGAGA